GACGAACGCUGGCGGCGUGCUUAACACAUGCAAGUCGAACGGAAAGGCCCUGCUUUUGUGGGGUGCUCGAGUGGCGAACGGGUGAGUAACACGUGAGUAACCUGCCCUUGACUUUGGGAUAACUUCAGGAAACUGGGGCUAAUACCGGAUAGGAGCUCCUGCUGCAUGGUGGGGGUUGGAAAGUUUCGGCGGUUGGGGAUGGACUCGCGGCUUAUCAGCUUGUUGGUGGGGUAGUGGCUUACCAAGGCUUUGACGGGUAGCCGGCCUGAGAGGGUGACCGCCCACAUUGGGACUGAGAUACGGCCCAGACUCCUACGGGAGGCAGCAGUGGGGAAUAUUGCACAAUGGGCGGAAGCCUGAUGCAGCAACGCCGCGUGCGGGAUGACGGCCUUCGGGUUGUAAACCGCUUUCGCCUGUGACGAAGCGUGAGUGGCGGUAAUGGGUAAAGAAGCACCGGCUAACUACGUG
rnacentral:rRNA from 1 species